GACGUAGGGGGCCAGCGUUGUUCGGAAUUACUGGGUGUAAAGGGUUCGUAGGCGGUGCGGCAAGUUGGGAGUGAAAUCUCUGGGCUUAACCCAGAGGCUGCUUCCAAAACUGCUGUGCUUGAGUGUGGGAGAGGCGCGUGGAAUUGCAGGUGUAGCGGUGAAAUGCGUAGAUAUCUGCAGGAACACCCGUGGCGAAAGCGGCUCACUGGACCACAACUGACGCUGAUGCACGAAAGCUAGGGGAGCAAACAGG
rnacentral:rRNA from 1 species